rnacentral:rRNA from 1 species
GAUGAACGCUGGCGGCGUGCUUAAUACAUGCAAGUCGAGCGAAAAGGCGAGGAGCUUUCUCCUCUGACGUUAGCGGCGCGCGGGGGUGUCACACGUGUGUAACCUACUGAUCAGACGGGGAUAACUGCGGGAAACGGGAGCUUAUACCGGAUAAUAUUUUGAAGCACAUGGUUCAGGAGUGAAGGAUGGGUUUGGUGUCACUUAGAGAUCUAUCCGCGCGGCAUUAGCUAGUUGGUCAGGUAACGGCUUACCAAGGAGACGAUGCGUAGCCGGCCUGAGAGGGUGAGCGGCCACACUGGAACUGAGACACGGUCCAGACUCCUACGGGAGGCAGCAGUAGGGAAUCUUCCACAAUGGGGGAAAGCCUGACGGAGCAAGGCCGCGUGAUUGAUGAAGGUCUUCGGAUCGUAAAACGCUUUUGUUAGGGAAGAACAAUUGUCUAAGUAACAAGGCUCGUCUUGACGGUACCUAAACAAAAAGCCACGGCUAACUACGUG